CUGUAGCUCAGUUGGUUAGAGCGCGCCCCUGAUAAGGGCGAGGUCACUGGUUCAAAUCCAGUCAGGCCCCACCA
rnacentral:tRNA from 1 species